rnacentral:lncRNA from 10 species
GAGAUUACAAGGCUGUAUAGUUAAUGGGUAGGUAACUUAGUAAAUAGGAGACUUUGUUGUAGAUAAAAUCAUUGUUAGGUAUUUGGAAAUUAUGAGGAAUAAUAUAUAUAAUGCCCUAGGGGUGAGUAGGGGUGAUUGCUGGAAGUCUCUUACAGACUGAGCAGGUAAGAAGAAGAAAGGAGAAGAAACCUUCUUCUGGUUUUUGUGUUUGUGGCUGCAGACUAUGCCGUGCAAGACUUGGUAAACUGGUCCCUACCGCAGAGGAUUUUAUACAGAGCACGCUAGUGGCUCACAGAAUAUUUCACUGAUUGCCUUGCCCGCUUCUCAAAGGCCCACUUCUCUGUGGAAUGAUGCAGUUGCUAAGAAGAGCUGUUAAUGUCAUGACCUCAAUGAAUAAAAAAGACUUCCUUUUCUCCAUGCCCACUCAAGUAAAAGGCUUCUCUCUGAACUCCUGCUAAUUUUUCAUCAGCAAAGGUGCACAGCCUUUUGGAAGUGAAAUGAUUACUAGUGAAGAAAAAGAAAGAACCUAACACUUAUUUUACAAGCCUCCCAGUGACCACUCUUCAGACAAAACUUCUUAUAAUAGCUUCCUUCCCUGAAUCUUUUGCGAAACAUCAAAUCACAAAGAGAUCUUAUUUCUGGCAAGGAAGACUCAUAUAUGACUCCUGGUACAUGGGUACAAGGAUUCUAUAGGCUAUAUACCUAAUCGUGGAAUUGUUGAGUCUCAGAGUAUUCAAAUGUUCAACUUGACACAUUAUCAUGAAACUGUUCUCCAGAGUGGCUUUCCAAUUUACUCUUCCACCAAAAAUGUGUUCCUAUUGAUCUACAUCUUCUCUAGAAC